GGAGGAAGGGAGCCUCAAGCAGCAUCCCACAUCAUCCUGUGGCUCCACAGGAGCACUUGGAGGGGACCCUGACCUGGCUACCAACUUCAGACCCCAUCAGCUUGCGUCCUUCGGACCCACACCUGCCUGCCCUUUUUUGGACCACUGCCUGCCAGCCACGUCUGGAUUCCAGCCUGCCUUCACCUUUGGAUCCUCGCCUGCCUCUGCUGCUGCCUUCGGGCCCCCGCCUGCCUCUGCUGCCAGCUUAGGAUCCCAGCCUCCUUCUGCUGCUGCCUGACCCCUGCCUGCCUCUGUUGUUGUUGUUAUUAUUAUUAUUAUUACAAUAUUUAUUUAUUUAUUUAUUUAUUUAACUUA